rnacentral:rRNA from 1 species
AGCAGUAGCCGCGGGAAUACGAAGGGUGCAAGCGUUAAUCGGAAUUACUGGGCGUAAAGCGCGCGUAGGUGGUUCAUUAAGUUGGAUGUGAAAGCCCUGGGCUCAACCUGGGAACUGCAUCCAAAACUGGUGAGCUAGAGUACGGUAGAGGGUAGUGGAAUUUCCUGUGUAGCGGUGAAAUGCGUAGAUAUAGGAAGGAACACCAGUGGCGAAGGCGACUACCUGGACUGAUACUGACACUGAGGUGCGAAAGCGUGGGGAGCAAACAGGAUUAGAUACCCCCGUAGUCCCUGUCUCUUAUAC